UGGGGAAUAUUGCACAAUGGGCGAAAGCCUGAUGCAGCAACGCCGCGUGAGUGAUGAAGGUCUUCGGAUUGUAAAGCUCUGUCUUUUGGGACGAUAAUGACGGUACCAAAGGAGGAAGCCACGGCUAACUACGUGCCAGCAGCCGCGGUAAUACGUAGGUGGCGAGCGUUGUCCGGAUUUACUGGGCGUAAAGGGUGCGUAGGCGGAUGUUUAAGUGAGAUGUGAAAUACCCGGGCUUAACUUGGGUGCUGCAUUUCAAACUGGAUAUCUAGAGUGCAGGAGAGGAGAAUGGAAUUCCUAGUGUAGCGGUGAAAUGCGUAGAGAUUAGGAAGAACACCAGUGGCGAAGGCGAUUCUCGGACUGUAACUG
rnacentral:rRNA from 1 species